rnacentral:lncRNA from 1 species
UCCCUCUGGCGGAUCCCUGACCACGGUGCACAGACCUUCGGGCGGACCGUUGGGCGAUGUGGUUCUUGGCUUGCAGGCUGAGGUGCAUGCGACAGGGUCCUUCACCUCGAGCCGGGCAGAGCGCGGAUUAUCCGCAGUUGAUUGACUCGAGGCCGAGUCGGGUGGCUAGCUGGAAUAAGGUAGAUAGAACCUUGAGGGCUAGUGGUAAAUGUGUAAACCUAAGGUAAUAGAGAUCUUAGAGUUGGAUGAUAUGAACUAGAGUUAGCGAGAUCGAUUGUAGAAUCAAUAAUUCUACUAGUUGUUGCAUAUAUUCAUGUUGCAUAUAUUCCUGCUGCAUAUAGCAUGACAUCAUUGCAGUUGUGAGGCAAAGCAAGGUAAAGUUAGUUGCAUGUUUAUGAUAUACAUAUCUAUCUGUUUAUUGGACUAACUUGUAUUUGCCUCCCUUGGACCUGUUGGUCGAGCUCCUCCUGUCACACCCCGAAACUGAUACCAAUUUGGUCCAGUUCGGGCGCGUCGAACAGACGCCGGACGGACAGCACCUCCCCUGUCCGUCCAAGGCUAACAAAGAGAUUGUGUACAACAAGUCCCCAGGAAAAAUAACUUGAAUACAUACACAAUCGAUAACUACAACGAGAGCACAAUCAGUGCAAAACAACUAAGAGCAAGAUACAAGUAUAAGAUAUACAAGUAAUGAUAAAGAGAGAACAUCUAUCUAUUACAUUCAUUCAACUAUUAGAUUACAAUUCGAUUAUACAUUGAACUUCCAAAACAUAAUAAAAAGCUUACAUCUUCCAAAAUCUAAACAUUAGCUUACAUUCAUCCCAAAAUAGCUCACAACCUAUACAUCAUCUACUCUCAAUGUAUAUAAAGGUAACUCUAAUGCAGAAAUAGGAAGGUAAACUAAUGCAACUAGGGCGCUAGGCCCUUACCGCGAUCCUCGCCGUGUGAACUCGCGCUCGGCCCUGUAGUAAAAUGGGGGUGAGAACUAACUUCCUUAGUUCCCAGUGGGUUCGGCCGCCGACUCCGCCGAUCUCCCCACUAGGUCCAAGUGGGCACCAGUAGAUAAUCGAUAGAUAGAUAGAUAAGGAAAGCGGUAAAUGACAGAAAUAAAGCUACUCUACUAUGCACAAUCAUAAAUAUAUGAAUGCAUGUACAAUGAAAUAGGUAAGCAACUAACCUGUUAUCAUGUCCAAAGGUAAAGCUAUUCACUCGUUCGUUUACCUCAUUUAUUCAUUAAUCUCAUGGCUUACCCGAAGGCUCGCCUACAGCUCACUAGCCAUCUCGACGCGUAGGGAGAAUUAACUCAUACUACGAACCCGAGACCGUCUGGCGGGGCCAAAAUAGGCAAUCCCUUGGGACCCAAAAUAGGCAAUCCCACGUGACCAACUCCGGAGCGCACUACUUGUGUGGGGCUUCCAUCACAAGAUUUAAAAAUAGACCGUGAGCAUGAUCCAAUCCUCGUCUCGAGAAUACCCUAUCCUCUAGGGUUACAAUCAUCAUAUAGUCCAUAGGUUUCAUAUACACUACGACUCACAUAUGUCACUUGUUCUUUUGUUUACUAUCAACUAGAUGCCACUCGUUCUUUACAAGUUUCCAAUGCAAUAGCCAAUACAUUACUAAAUUUCCAUCCACACUUAUCAUCUCAUUAUAGGGUUCCACAUCACAUAUAUAAACCUCAAGCAUGCUAGAUAUAAAUACUAAGCC